AUGGAGGGGAGGGCGAGGCGGCGCUCCAGCCCGUCCGGGAUGCGCACCAAGGCAGUCAGGGUGGAGCCGGAGCCGCCACCGACGACCAAGAGGCAUGGGCCAGGGAUGAGGGCGGCGGUGGUGUACUGCCUCUACCGCAACCACCACCUAGAGCACCCACACUUCAUGGAGGUGACCCUCGCCUCCCCACAAGGCCUCUACCUGCAAGAUGUGAUUGACCGGCUGGACGCCCUGAGAGGGAAGGGCAUGGUGGCCAAGUAUUCCUGCUCCUGCAAGAGGAGCUACAAGACUGGAUUCGUGUGGCACGAUCUGUCUGUGGAUGAUCUGUUGCUGCUCACGCAAGUAAUAGAGUACGUUCUCAAGGGCUCCGAGUUCCCAUUCGACCAGUCAAAGCCUCUGCCAAUGCCAGAUCAUCAGCAGAAUAAUGCAGUAUGUGCAAAGGUUCAGCCCUGCAAGCCGGCUCGACAACAAGAGUCGCCUCGUUCUCCUGGAUCAUCAAACCAAGGGUGGACUUCCAAGUCUCCGUCUCCUACUCCUACAACUUACCCUACAGUUCUAGUCAUCAAAGAGGAAGUACCGCCGCCACCACCAACAAUAGCUCGUGCUGCUGUUGUUCCAGCCAUCAAAGAGCACGCGGUGCCACCGCGACUUCCCUAG
rnacentral:rRNA from 1 species